rnacentral:rRNA from 1 species
GAUGAACGCUGGCGGCGUGCUUAACAUUUGAAAGUUGAACGAAACUUUCAGAAACAGAUUCUUCGGAUGACGAUUCUGAAACGUUUAGUGGCGGAUGGGCGAGUAACACGUGAGGAACCUGCCUUUCACAGGGGAAUAACACUGGGAAACCAGUGCUAAUACCGCAUAAUGUAUUAAAGUGGCAUCACAUUAAUACCAAAGAUUUUAUCGGUGAAAGAUGGCCUCGCGCCUGAUUAGCUAGUAGGUGAGGUAACCGCUCACCUAGGUGAUGAUCUGUAGCCGGACUGAGAGGUUGAUCGGCCGCACUGGGACUGAGACACGGCCCAGACUCCUACUUUUUUUUUUCAGUGGGGAAAAUUGGGCCAUGGGUUCAUGCCUGUCCCAGCAACCCCGCCGAUUGAAGACGUUUUUUGGAUUGUUACUUCUUUCGACCCUUUUGAUUCCGUGAUUGGUCCUGUACAUUAGUCUG